rnacentral:rRNA from 1 species
CUUGCUGGGUGGAUUAGUGGCGAACGGGUGAGUAACACGUGAGUAACCUGCCCCUGACUCUGGGAUAAGCGUUGGAAACGACGUCUAAUACUGGAUAUGAUCACUGGCCGCAUGGUCUGGUGGUGGAAAGAUUUUUUGGUUGGGGAUGGACUCGCGGCCUAUCAGCUUGUUGGUGAGGUAAUGGCUCACCAAGGCGACGACGGGUAGCCGGCCUGAGAGGGUGACCGGCCACACUGGGACUGAGACACGGCCCAGACUCCUACGGGAGGCAGCAGUGGGGAAUAUUGCACAAUGGGCGAAAGCCUGAUGCAGCAACGCCGCGUGAGGGAUGACGGCCUUCGGGUUGUAAACCUCUUUUAGUAGGGAAGAAGCGAAAGUGACGGUACCUGCAGAAAAAGCACCGGCUAACUACGUGCCAGCAGCCGCGGUAAUACGUAGGGUGCAAGCGUUGUCCGGAAUUAUUGGGCGUAAAGAGCUCGUAGGCGGUUUGUCGCGUCUGCUGUGAAAUCCCGAGGCUCAACCUCGGGCUUGCAGUGGGUACGGGCAGACUAGAGUGCGGUAGGGGAGAUUGGAAUUCCUGGUGUAGCGGUGGAAUGCGCAGAUAUCAGGAGGAACACCGAUGGCGAAGGCAGAUCUCUGGGCCGUAACUGACGCUGAGGAGCGAAAGCGUGGGGAGCGAACAGGAUUAGAUACCCUGGUAGUCCACGCCGUAAACGUUGGGCGCUAGAUGUAGGGACCUUUCCACGGUUUCUGUGUCGUAGCUAACGCAUUAAGCGCCCCGCCUGGGGAGUACGGCCGCAAGGCUAAAACUCAAAGGAAUUGACGGGGGCCCGCACAAGCGGCGGAGCAUGCGGAUUAAUUCGAUGCAACGCGAAGAACCUUACCAAGGCUUGACAUACACCGGAAACGGCCAGAGAUGGUCGCCCCCUUGUGGUCGGUGUACAGGUGGUGCAUGGUUGUCGUCAGCUCGUGUCGUGAGAUGUUGGGUUAAGUCCCGCAACGAGCGCAACCCUCGUUCUAUGUUGCCAGCGCGUUAUGGCGGGGACUCAUAGGAGACUGCCGGGGUCAACUCGGAGGAAGGUGGGGAUGACGUCAAAUCAUCAUGCCCCUUAUGUCUUGGGCUUCACGCAUGCUACAAUGGCCGGUACAAAGGGCUGCGAUACCGUAAGGUGGAGCGAAUCCCAAAAAGCCGGUCUCAGUUCGGAUUGAGGUCUGCAACUCGACCUUAUGAAGUCGGA